rnacentral:rRNA from 1 species
GACGAACGCUGGCGGCGUGCUUAACACAUGCAAGUCGAACGGAAAGGCCCUGCUUUUGUGGGGUGCUCGAGUGGCGAACGGGUGAGUAACACGUGAGUAACCUGCCCUUGACUUUGGGAUAACUUCAGGAAACUGGGGCUAAUACCGGAUAGGAGCUCCUGCUGCAUGGUGGGGGUUGGAAAGUUUCGGCGGUUGGGGAUGGACUCGCGGCUUAUCAGCUUGUUGGUGGGGUAGUGGCUUACCAAGGCUUUGACGGGUAGCCGGCCUGAGAGGGUGACCGGCCACAUGGGGACUGAGAUACGGCCCAGACUCCUACGGGAGGCAGCAGUGGGGAAUAUUGCACAAUGGGCGGAAGCCUGAUGCAGCAACGCCGCGGGCGGGAUGACGGCCUUCGGGGUGUAAACCGCUUUCGCCUGUGACGAAGCGUGAGUGACGGUAAUGGGUAAAGAAGCACCGGCUAACUACGUG